UCGUGGAUCAGAAUGCCACGGUGAAUACGUUCCCGGGCCUUGUACACACCGCCCGUCACACCAUGGGAGUGGGUUGCAAAAGAAGUAGGUAGCUUAACCUUCGGGAGGGCGCUUACCACUUUGUGAUUCAUGACUGGGGUGAAGUCGUAACAAGGUAACCGUAGGGGAACCUGCGGUUGGAUCACCUCCUUA
rnacentral:rRNA from 1 species